UAACCAUUUUCCACCCUCUUUUUUUGAACACAGAUUACUGAGUAAAUUCAAAACCCUAAAAGAAAUGUUGAGCUGAUAUGUCAACAUUUGUACAUGUUAUCCAAUCCUGUUGUGCUAAUUCAGUUGCUUGUGAUCUUGGUAGAAGUUGAGGAAAGUUAUCUUUUUUU